rnacentral:lncRNA from 1 species
GUCAGGCUUCUUGGUGUUCCUAUGCUCCUCACAUGUGCUGCUUUGUGAUGGACAACUCCUGGGCAAGGUUACACAGUCACACUAAGGACUUGGAGCUGUUGGGAUCCCUCAGCAUCUUUUGAUGCCUCUAAUUGCCAACACUGUCUUUUGCAUCUCAGUCUCCCGUGCAUGUGUGCAGGUGUGAGUGGUAUGCUUAUGUAUGCCUGUAUGUGGUGGACAUGUGUGAUGAAGUGCCAGCCUAGGCUUCACUCUCCUGUCUCCCCCUCACUCCCUCUUCCCACCAAUGUAUUCCCUGCCCUGAGCACAAUGGCUUAGGUGACUCAGGACCACACUGUGGAUUUGGUUGGCUGCGUUUCAGGCCACCGUUUUCUUGCCUGUGGGAUGAUGCUAGUGUCUACUUGAAGAUCCUUCAACUACAUGAGAGAUGUGAAGGGUGGUGACUCAGUGGCUGCUUCCCCACCUCUCAGGGCUCUUCCUUUACCCCAGAGGCACGGUAGGGCAACUGGAAGCCCCUGUCUGAACUCUAUUCCUGUUAUAACAGUGUUCAGCCCUGAGUUUGACACCUGUUACUACAGAGACAUCCUUGGGCCUGCACCUGUCCCACAGCCCACUCUACCUGUGAUCGAGGUUGUUAACUCCUCCCCAGUCCCAUCUCAGGGCAGCCCCACACCGGAGUCCAAGUGGCUAAACUGAGCCCUUGAAGGGGAAGUGACCAGAGCAGAGGACAUACUACUAGAUUUGGACCUUCUGUGCUGCCUACCUGGGGUUCUUUGGGCUGAGUGGGCCAGGGCUGCCAGUCUUAACCUGGUACCUGUUUACCUGAGAAGGCCCCAUUCUGUUGUUCAACUACAGCUUCUGAACUGAGAAAUUUGGGACUUAUUUUUCUGAUUUUAAAAAUAAAGUGCCACACCAUUUUUAUAAUACUAGUGUUUUAUAAUUU